CUUUCAGUGGCCUCCAGGUGUUCAGGCCCCUCCUGGUACGGAUCCUCCGACACCUAAUCCUGCAGGUAAGUGCAACCUCCCGUCCCCCAGCUCUGCUCCUCUCCCCGGCCCUGCUUCAAGGGCAUCACUAACUCCAGAAAAUUCACUCCAGGGGCACAACUCCAUAGAAGUGGGACAGAUGCCAAGGCUGCUCACACCCUUUUCCAGGAGAAAGAAAAAUGACAGGAUGCUCAGAGACUUUUUUUUUUUUCCCCACUGAGCAGAGCAGUUCUAGUUUACAUCUUUGCUACAAGGAUCAAAAUUUUAUUGUAUUGUUAUUAUUCCAGUGAGUCUCCCUGCACGUGUUUCCAUGUUCUUUUUCCCUGGGGUCUAAAUCGUGUUUUUCCGUAUUAUAAACCAGAGUUCAUACAUGACUACAAUUAGAAUUUUAAGGCAGAAAACAAGGGCAUUUCUAGGCUAUAGAAAUGCUCAUGGCAUCCUGAUUAUCUGGUUAAGUAGUAAGAAAAUAGGAUUACGUUGGUUAUAUUGAGCAGAACAAAGUGUGAACCGAACAUCUUUAGUAAAAGAAAUAAAUAAGAGAGCAGAAAAUUGGGACUAUGUUAGGAAAAACUGAGAAACCCGAGGCUAUGCCUAAGACUGUAAAAUGCUGCAUUUUAUUUGCAUGAAGCUUCUGAAAGAUUCAUGUCUCCCUAGGGGCUCAUCCACUGGGAAAGCACGAAUUUCCAGAAGCCUUGUGAAGUAGUGGGGCUGUCGGAAGAGUUUUGCUGCACAUGCUGCAAAUCCUGCUCUGCCCGGGCAGCAAACGCUGCUGAAGGGCUGUUUGGGUGCUCGGAGCUCCCCAGGAGAGGGGCAGAAAGUUCCUGCUGGCCCUGGGCUGAGAUCUGUCAUGUGCUCUUGUGCUCCCAGCUCAGAGGCCUCUCCAGAACCCAAUUCCAGAGAAGUUAAAGGACUGCCCUCCCAGAUCACACCCAAAAUACGUCACCAUGUGGAGCUGGUGUGUGCAGGUAUGGGCACCAACCUUUCCCUGGAGGGGUGUGGGAUCCAGCAACGCUCUGCAAGAGACAGUAACGGCCCAGGUACCACUGGAGGAGGAGGAGGAGAAGGAGAAGAAGAAGAAGGAGGAGGAGGAAGAGGUGGCAUCAUGCUGGGCCAUCGUGUCACAAAGUGCCACUGUGGGCAAGUGACUGGGAGCUGCUGCACAGCACAGGUGGGAGCACACACAGCACUCGUGGCUUCACUUUUCAAUAUAAGACAUGCAAGAGGCUUUAAGGAGCCAAA